rnacentral:rRNA from 1 species
AUUGAACGCUGGCGGCAUGCUUUACACAUGCAAGUCGAACGGUAACAGGCCGCAAGGUGCUGACGAGUGGCGCACGGGUGAGUAAUGCAUCGGAACGUGCCCAGUCGUGGGGGAUAACUACUCGAAAGAGUAGCUAAUACCGCAUACGAUCUAUGGAUGAAAGCGGGGGACCGUAAGGCCUCGCGCGAUUGGAGCGGCCGAUGUCAGAUUAGGUAGUUGGUGGGGUAAAGGCUCACCAAGCCAACGAUCUGUAGCUGGUCUGAGAGGACGACCAGCCACACUGGGACUGAGACACGGCCCAGACUCCUACGGGAGGCAGCAGUGGGGAAGUUUGGACAAUGGGCGCAAGCCUGAUCCAGCAAUGCCGCGUGCAGGAAGAAGGCCUUCGGGUUGUAAACUGCUUUUGUACGGAACGAAACGGCUCUGGUUAAUACCCGGGGAUAAUGACGGUACCGUAAGAAUAAGCACCGGCUAACUACGU